CUGGGAUAACUCCGGGAAACCGGAGCUAAUACCGGAUAGUUCCUUGAACCGCAUGGUUCAAGGAUGAAAGACGGUUUCGGCUGUCACUUACAGAUGGACCCGCGGCGCAUUAGCUAGUUGGUGGGGUAAUGGCUCACCAAGGCGACGAUGCGUAGCCGACCUGAGAGGGUGAUCGGCCACACUGGGACUGAGACACGGCCCAGACUCCUACGGGAGGCAGCAGUAGGGAAUCUUCCGCAAUGGACGAAAGUCUGACGGAGCAACGCCGCGUGAGUGAUGAAGGUUUUCGGAUCGUAAAGCUCUGUUGUUAGGGAAGAACAAGUGCGAGAGUAACUGCUCGCACCUUGACGGUACCUAACCAGAAAGCCAGGGCUAACUACGUGCCAGCAGCCGCGGUAAUACGUAGGUGGCAAGCGUUGUCCGGAAUUAUUGGGCGUAAAGGGCUCGCAGGCGGUUUCUUAAGUCUGAUGUGAAAGCCCCCGGCUCAACCGGGGAGGGUCAUUGGAAACUGGGAAACUUGAGUGCAGAAGAGGAGAGUGGAAUUCCACGUGUAGCGGUGAAAUGCGUAGAGAUGUGGAGGAACACCAGUGGCGAAGGCGACUCUCUGGUCUGUAACUGACGCUGAGGAGCGAAAGCGUGGGGAGCGAACAGGAUUAGAUACCCUGGUAGUCCACGCCGUAAACGAUGAGUGCUAAGUGUUAGGGGGUUUCCGCCCCUUAGUGCUGCAGCUAACGCAUUAAGCACUCCGCCUGGGGAGUACGGUCGCAAGACUGAAACUCAAAGGAAUUGACGGGGGCCCGCACAAGCGGUGGAGCAUGUGGUUUAAUUCGAAGCAACGCGAAGAACCUUACCAGGUCUUGACAUCCUCUGACAACCCUAGAGAUAGGGCUUUCCCUUCGGGGACAGAGUGACAGGUGGUGCAUGGUUGUCGUCAGCUCGUGUCGUGAGAUGUUGGGUUAAGUCCCGCAACGAGCGCAACCCUUGAUCUUAGUUGCCAGCAUUCAGUUGGGCACUCUAAGGUGACUGCCGGUGACAAACCGGAGGAAGGUGGGGAUGACGUCAAAUCAUCAUGCCCCUUAUGACCUGGGCUACACACGUGCUACAAUGGACAGAACAAAGGGCUGCAAGACCGCAAGGUUUAGCCAAUCCCAUAAAUCUGUUCUCAGUUCGGAUCGCAGUCUGCAACUCGACUGCGUGAAGCUGGAAUCGCUAGUAAUCGCGGAUCAGCAUGCCGCGGUGAAUAC
rnacentral:rRNA from 1 species